UUGGUUUUAACUGGUUCCAUUGGGUUCUAACUGGUUCUAUCUGGUUCUAUCUGGUUCUAACUGGUUCCAUCUGGUUCUAACUAGUUCCAUUUGGUUUUAACUGGUUCCAUCUGGUUUUAACUGGUUCCAUCUGGUUCUAACUGGUUCCAUUUAGUUCUAACUGGUUCCAUCUGGUUUUAACUGGUUCCAUCUGGUUCAAACUGGUUCCAUUUGGUUCAAACUGGUUCCAUUUGGUUCUAACUGGUUCCAUCUGGUUCUAACUGUUUCCAUCUGGUUCCAUCUGGUACCAUCUGACUCUAACUGGUUCCAGUUGGUUCUAACGGGUCCCAUUUGGUUCCAUCUGGUUCUAACUGGUUCCAUCUGGUUCUAACUGGUUCCAUCUAACCAUGCGGAGGUCAUUCUUUGGGCCUUGCGUUUCCUCCUCAUCUUCCUGUGAGUUUUCUGAACAGAAGUUUAUCUGAACUAAACCAACAGAACCGGGUCUGUUUAUCUGAAGUGAUCCAACAGAACCGGGUCUGUUUAUCUGAACUGAACCAACAGAACCGGGUCUGUUUAUCUGAAGUGAUCCAACAGAACCGGGUCUGUUUAUCUGAACUAAACCAACAGAACCGGGUCUGUUUAUCUGAAGUGAUCCAACAGAACCGGGUCUGUUUAUCUGAACUGAACCAACAGAACCGGGUCUGUUUAUCUGAAGUGAUCCAACAGAACCGGGUCUGUUUAUCUGAACUGAACCAACAGAACCGGGUCUGUUUAUCUGAACUGAACCAACAGAACCGGGUCUGUUUAUCUGAAGUGAGCCAAGAGAACCGGGUCUGUUUAUCUGAACUGAACCAACAGAACCGGGUCUGUUUAUCUGAACUGAUCCAACAGAACCGGGUCUGUUUAUCUGAACUGAACCAACAGAACCGGGUCUGUUUAUCUGAACUGAUCCAACAGAACCGGGUCAGUUUAUCUGAAGUGAUCCAACAGAACCGGGUCUGUUUAUCUGAACUGAACCAACAGAACCGGGUCUGUUUAUCUGAACUGAUCCAACAGAACCGGGUCUGUUUAUCUGAACUGAUCCAACAGAACCGGGUCUGUUUAUCUGAACUGAUCCAACAGAACCGGGUCAGUUUAUCUGAAGUGAUCCAACAGAACUGGGUCUGUUUAUCUGAACUGAUCCAACAGAACCGGGUCUGUUUAUCUGAAAUGAUCCAACAGAACCGGGUCUGUUUAUCUGAACUGAUCCAACAGAACCAGGUCUGUUUAUCUGAACUGAUCCAACAGAACCGGGUCUGUUUAUCUGAAAUGAUCCAACAGAACCGGGUCUGUUUAUCUGAACUGAUCCAACAGAACCGGGUCUGUUUAUCUGAACUGAUCCAACAGAACCGGGUCUGUUUAUCUGAACUGAACCAACAGAACUGGGUCUGUUUAUCUGAACUGAUCCAACAGAACCGGGUCUGUUUAUCUGAAAUGAUCCAACAGAACCGGGUCUGUUUAUCUGAACUGAUCCAACAGAACCAGGUCUGUUUAUCUGAACUGAUCCAACAGAACCGGGUCUGUUUAUCUGAAAUGAUCCAACAGAACCGGGUCUGUUUAUCUGAACUGAUCCAACAGAACCGGGUCUGUUUAUCUGAACUGAUCCAACAGAACCGGGUCUGUUUAUCUGAACUGAUCCAACAGAACCAGGUCUGUUUAUCUGAAAUUUGUCCCAAAUCACAGAAUUGUUUUCAGGAAACUGACGAGUUAAUAAUCAGGAAAUAAAAUGUUUUAUUUCAACUUGUGAAUUAAAAUCAGUUCUGAUAAAAACACAACGUGUAGCAAUAUUAAUGUAUUAUUAUUGUUAUUGUUGUUGUUGUUGUUGUUGUUAGGUUCCUCUGAUGCUGUUAUGAUCGUGAGUGUAAUGAAUGUGUUAUGUUUGGUUGCUGGUGGAGGUGAUGAAUGAAACCUGCAGGUGUGAUUGGUUCACAGACUGAACGAUAAGAAUCUGACCUUCGUUAUAACAGAUAUCGAUGUAUUUAUGUAUUUAUGGAUGUUUCUCAUGUCGUAGUGAUUCUGUCCAGUUAGUCCAGUUCUGAGCUGCGUUCAACACAACACCUGCUUCACUGCGUUAGCAGACGUUAGCAGACGUUAGCGGACGUGUUGGUAGCUGUGACGUGUCCUCAUGUGUUCACAUUAAUGUCAGCAUGUUGGUGUAAUAAAGUGUUCCUUUAAUAAUCAGUAACGUGUUGCUGUUGAACGCAGCUCCACACACACACACAGUGAUCGUAGAUAGUUCACUCUGUUUGAUAUUAAUAUCAAUGAAUAUAUACUGUAUAUAUAUAUAUGUAUGUAAGGAACAUAUAUAUCAACUGAAAUAUGCAGCGGCCCAGACUGUACUGUACAGUACUGUAGUGUAUGUAGUGUAGUGUAGUGUAUGUGUGUGUGUGUGUGUGUAGUUUUGUUGUGUAUUUUGGUGUCAUGUGAUCAGGGCCAACAGAGACGUGUUGAUGUGAAUAAAGUUUGUGUGAAUGAA